rnacentral:rRNA from 1 species
CCUACGGGAGGCAGCAGCGGGGAAUAUUGCACAAUGGGCGCAAGCCUGAUGCAGCGACGCCGCGUGAGGGAUGACGGCCUUCGGGUUGUAAACCUCUUUCAACGCCGACGAAGCGUAAGUGACGGUAGGCGUAGAAGAAGCACCGGCCAACUACGUGCCAGCAGCCGCGGUAAUACGAAGGUCCCUAGCGUUGUUCGGAAUCAUUGGGCGUAAAGCGCUUGUAGGUGGCUUUGAAAGUUGGGUGUGAAAGCCCCGGGCUCAACCCGGGAAGUGCACUCAAAACUCCUUAGCUUGAGUACGGUAGAGGUAAGUGGAAUACCUAGUGUAGUGGUGAAAUACGUAGAUAUUAGGUGGAACAUCAGUGGCGAAGGCGGCUUACUGGACCAGUACUGACACUGAGAAGCGAAAGCAUGGGGAUCAAACAGGAUUAGAUACCCUGGUAGUCCAUGCCGUAAACGAUGGGUACUUGUUGUUGGAGGUAUUGACCCCUUCAGUGACGAAGCUAACGCGUUAAGUACCCCGCCUGGGAAGUACGGUCGCAAGAUUAAAACUCAAAGAAAUUGACGGGGGCCCGCACAAGCGGUGGAGUAUGUGGUUUAAUUCGAUGCAACGCGAAAAACCUUACCUGGAUUUGACAUACAGUGGAAUACGGCAGAGAUGUCGUAGCCUUCGGGCCGCUGUACAGGUGCUGCAUGGCUGUCGUCAGCUCGUGUCGUGAGAUGUUGGGUUAAGUCCCGCAACGAGCGCAACCCCUGCAUUUAGUUGCCAGCAUUCAGUUGGGCACUCUAGAUGGACUGCCGACGUUAAGUCGGAGGAAGGUGGGGAUGACGUCAAGUCCUCAUGGCCUUUAUAUCCAGGGCUACACACGUACUACUAUGGUCGGUACAAAGGGCUGCUUAAGUCGCGAGACGGAGCUCAUCCCAAAAACCCGAUCUAAGUUCGGAUUGGAGUCUGCACUCGACUCCAUGAAGCUGAAAUCGCUAGUAAUCGUGGAUCAGCAUGCCGCG